rnacentral:misc_RNA from 1 species
GGAAGAGUGCACAGAGGUUACAUAUUUCAUGUAUGGAGAUAGUUGGCAGCCAUCAUCAACUCAAGAGUCAAUUCAGGUUCAAUAGGGAACUCGGUCUCUUUCCCGCUGGCGAAUUGAAGAUUCCAGUAAAAAUAUUGGCAAAUCUUCUCGAGAAUGGUGGUGCUAAUCUCAGGAAAAGUCACUUCUCUGUGCUGCGAUUCAGCAAAAUUUCCUGGGGAAGUAAGCAUAUUUCGAAUCGUCUGAGAAACCAUGGCAGCAUCUUUGUGGAUUACGAACUCAAAACCCUCAGCGCUGAUCAAUUUUACAGUCUCUUCCUUCUUCAUUUCGCUCUAAACUAUCUUGCGAACUUGAGAGAGAUUCUUGUUCCCUCUCCCUAUGAACAAAAAG